CCUACGGGUGGCAGCAGUGAGGAAUAUUGGUCAAUGGGCGCGAGCCUGAACCAGCCAAGUAGCGUGAAGGAUGACUGCCCUACGGGUUGUAAACUUCUUUUAUAAAGGAAUAAAGUGAGGCACGUGUGCCUUUUUGUAUGUACUUUAUGAAUAAGGAUCGGCUAACUCCGUGCCAGCAGCCGCGGUAAUACGGAGGAUCCGAGCGUUAUCCGGAUUUAUUUGGUUUAAAGGGAGCGUAGAUGGGUUGUUAAGUCAGUUGUGAAAGUUUGCGGUUCAACCGUAAAAUUGCAAUUGAGACUGGCAUCUUGGAGAACAGUGGAGGGAGGCGGAAUUCGUGGUGUACCGGUGAAAUGCU
rnacentral:rRNA from 1 species